ACGCUCACAUCAGCAGCACAUAUGCUACAAUUGGAAGAACACAGAGAUGAUUAGCGUGGCCCCUGUGCAAAGGCGACACACAAACCUGUGCAGCAUUCUAUCAUUUU